UAGUCACAAUAAAAAAACAAAAAUAAGAUUAAGAAAGUUUGAUCAUUUAUCUUGGGGCUGUUUUCAAUAAAUAUUUUAAUUUGUCCACGUACAUCAGUAAAAUCUUUGUCUCUGCAAAGGAUGUUUCAUAAAAUGUUGCUUUUGGGAAUCUUUUGAUGCUUCAGUACUACGAGGAUAUAGCAAUUUAACCAUUUAUAAAAAUGUUCAAGAUACAACUAUAUCUUGUACUUGUGCUUGCUUACACCAAUUUAUUACAAUUCAUACAGUAAUACACCAAAAAUAAUUCUAUAAAACUGAGAGUUACUGACAAUUUUCCGUACAAAACUAUAUUUUUUAUCUAUGAAAGUAUAAUCCAAAUUCAAAUAAAACAUAUUUAAUAAUUAAGGUGGUAUUGUUAUAAAACUUGAAAAAAAAAUUGGUCUAUUUAAAAGUAAAACAAUAUUUUAAAAUAAUUUUUGUUUGCAAUGCAAAAAUCAAUAUAAAUCUUGUGACGCGCGGUGUUCAACUUUAGUCAGCGCCAAGCGCUUAUCGAGGGAGGACGUAUCGCUCGCUGUUGCGCCGCGCAAACUCGCCGGAGCUCGAAAAAUAUAGCGCAACCUGCGCAACGAACUCGUUUUGAUACUAGAUAAUGAAAGCAUAUUUAAUUCAGAUUAUCAGACUCAAUCGGAUACCAGUACAAAUAAUAUGGAAAAUGAAGAUACAAUACAUGGAAGACGAAUUAUAGAUUUUAGUUUUUUUAUAAAUCAAUUACUUAUACCUAAUUGAUAAACAUGGUGAAAAGUUUGGUUGUCGAUUAAAUAAUUUAAAAAUUGUAAACGA
rnacentral:lncRNA from 1 species